AAGGGUGUCAGCUUGAAGUAAAGGCUUAACUCCAAAACAGCUCUUUUCUCUCAAAGAGCAUAUCUCUUGAGUGUCAGGCACCAAAUCUUACUAACUUCUCAUGACAAAGCCUGUGAACUGCCCUCUCCUGCUAACAUUCCAUACAGGGUUUCCUUAGCAACACAGGGGCUGCUCUACUAAAAAGCACACCCCAUAUUCUGCUUCUCUUUAAAGAGCAAACCACAUUAACCAAGAUGCCAUACACAAACCGGAACUUACAUUCAACCAACAUUUCUCCACAGCCCACAACUGGGGGAAAGCGAGUAAACCCCCCACCCCCACACCUCCCGUUGGCAAUCUCUAGCACCUGGUGUUCAGGGACAUGUCGUCAUUAACAGGAUUUCCUCUCCUGCAUGAAUUACCUUGUCCAGAUACCCAACAGCCCUCUUUAUGCCAAAAGUAAAGUCUUCAGCUCUAUAUACCCAGGUUGUGAAAGGCUUUCUCCCAAUAAUCAGAGACAGGUGUUGAAAGCAAGGUCAGUUUUAUUUAAAUUGUGUUCACUGUGCACAAAUAAAAACACUGAAAAAUGUAGGAAAUACCUGGCAGUUAUCAAUAUCUUUUUGAGUCACAAUCCAGCACAGGUAUAUUCAGGUCCAGUGAAAUCCCAAACUCCAUUAAAACAAUAGUUUCAUAUAUCUAAGGAGGACGCUGUUGCAAGAUUCCAGCUGCGGACUUGGGUAUGUCUAUCCAUCUUCAUCUCCUGUGCUUCCAUGGGCAACAAUGUAUUGUUCAAAAAUACAAGGAUCAGAGUGGCCCAAGCCUCUGGGAUUGACUACUGCCAUGUAUGCUGUAGGGGUUGCCCUUGAAGAUGACAUGGAAGCUUCAAAAGGUGCAAAAUACCCCAGCGGUCCAUCUCCUUGCAGGUAACUCCACUGCUAAGCAGCACUCACGGAUGAUAUGGUUGCUAAGCAGGAGGUGUGGCUAGAAGGUGCUGACAGUAGUUGCCAAGGGAGGCUAAAGGGGCUCCAGAGAGAAAAAGGUGAUUAAGGCUGCUUAACACAGGCCGUGAAGUUCAGCUGAGGAGGUCGAAGGCAAAUUGAGGCAGAGGAGAAGGCUAGAAGAAGAGACUGAACAAGCACUGUAAGAUACCCCGCUCAGGGGAUGGAGCCAGUCUGGGAAGAGCACCUGUCUACUUGCAUGCAGGAGGUUUCAAGUUCCCUCCCUGGCAUCUCCAAGAUUGGGCUGAGAGAGAUUCCUGCCUGCAACCUUGGAGAAGCCUCUGCCAGUCUGUGUAGGCAAUACUGAACUAGAGGGACCAAUGAUCUGAUUUGGUAGGAGGAAGGAAGAAGCUGGAAUCACAGCAGCCUCCCAGGGUCUGUGCCUGAGGCUGCAGAGAGUCUGACAAAAGGACAGGAGGAAGGAGAAGAUAUCUGCUGCAGCAGGGACAACCUGCAGCCAGUCAGACCAGGAAGAAGAAGGUGACACCAGGUUCCUGGCUGGCAAGGGGACACAGGGCCUGACUGAAAAGUCUGGCCUGAACACAGCCUGCAUUGAAGGAAGACUGGACUAUGGCCUUGAAGAGCAGCCUUUUAAGCUCACAUUCCGGAGGCCUGCAUCAAGGAACCCACAGGCCUGUGCGUGUGAGUGACCACUGGGAGGAGAUGGUAUUUUUCUAUAAUA